ACCUGGCUGGCUUAGUUGGUGGAGCAUGGGACUCUUGAUCUCAGGGUCGUGAGUUCAAACCCCACCCUGGGCA
rnacentral:tRNA from 1 species